GCAUAUCAAUAAGCGGAGGAAAAGAAACCAACAGGGAUUGCCUUAGUAGCGGCGAGUGAAGCGGCAAUAGCUCAAAUUUGAAAUCUGGUACCUUCGGUGCCCGAGUUGUAAUUUGAAGAAGGUAUCUUUGGUUUUGGCUCUUGUCUAUGUUCCUUGGAACAGGACGUCACAGAGGGUGAGAAUCCCGUGCGAUGAGAUGCCCAAUUCCAUGUAAAGUUCCUUCGACGAGUCGAGUUGUUUGGGAAUGCAGCUCUAAGUGGGUGGUAAAUUCCAUCUAAAGCUAAAUAUUGGCGAGAGACCGAUAGCGAACAAGUACUGUGAAGGAAAGAUGAAAAGAACUUUGAAAAGAGAGUGAAAAAGUACGUGAAAUUGUUGAAAGGGAAGGGCUUGAGAUUAGACUUGGAAUUUUCCAAUUAUUGGAGCUUUCCGGGCCAGCAUCAGUUUGGAUGGCAGGAUAAUUGCGUUGGAAAGUAGCACUACUUCGGUGGUGUAUUAUAGACUUCGUCGAUACUGCCUAUCUAGACUGAGGACCGCGUCUUUGACUAGGAUGCUGGCAUAAUGAUCUUAAGCCGCCCGUCUUGAAACACGGACCAAGGAGUCUAACGUCUAUGCGAGUGUUUGGGUGUUAAACCCGUACGCGUAAUGAAAGUGAACGUAGGUGAGAGCCUUAGGGUGCAUCAUCGACCGAUCCUGAUGUCUUCGGAUGGAUUUGAGUAAGAGCAUAGCUGUUGGGACCCGAAAGAUGGUGAACUAUGCCUGAAUAGGGUGAAGCCAGAGGAAACUCUGGUGGAGGCUCGUAGCGGUUCUGACGUGCAAAUCGAUCGUCGAAUUUGGGUAUA
rnacentral:rRNA from 1 species